CAGCGAAAUGCGAUAAGUGGUGUGAAUUGCAGAAUCCCGUGAACCAUCGAGUCUUCGAACGCAAGUUGCGCCCGAGGCCUUCAGGCUGAGGGCCCGCCUGCCUGGGCGUCGCGCCCUGCGUCCCUUCCUGCCAAUGCCUGGUCGGUCGGCAUACGGCCCGACCGGUGCGGCGC
rnacentral:rRNA from 1 species